CCACGCAUUAUCAGAACUGUAGGGACGCAUGUGGAAAGCACGGGCCGGGAAUGGAAAGACCGGUACAAGCGGGGUAGGUGUACAAUAGGCAAAUCCGUUGUAUAAUCCGAAGACGUGAUGUGGAGCGAAAUAAAGUAGUGAAGCGUGUGAGCCAUGUGCCGAGAAAAGCUGCUAUUGUGUAAUGCGUGCCCGUACCGUAAACCGACACAGGUGGAUGAGGGAGAAUCCUAAGGCCGGCGGAAGAAGCAUUGUUAAGGAAUUCGGCAAAAUGACCCCGUAACUUCGGGAGAAGGGGUGCCUGCGAGAGCAGGCCGCAGAGAAUAGGCUCAAGCAACUGUUUAGCAAAAACACAGGUCUAUGCGAAACCGAAAGGUGAAGUAUAUGGGCUGACGCCUGCCCGGUGCUGGAAGGUUAAGAGGAGAGGUUAGCUUCGGCGAAGCUUUGAAUUUAAGCCCCAGUAAACGGCGGCCGUAACAAUAACGGUCCUAAGGUAGCGAAAUUCCUUGUCGGGCAAGUUCCGACCCGCACGAAAGGCGUAAUGAUUUGAGCACUGUCUCGACAAUGCAUCCGGUGAAAUUGAAGUACCAGUGAAGAUGCUGGUUACCCGCGCCAGGACGGAAAGACCCCAUGGAGCUUUACUCCAGUUUGAUACUGGGAUUCGGUACUGCAUGUACAGGAUAGGUGGGAGACGAAGAAGGAUGGACGCCAGUCUGUCCGGAGUCGCUGUUGGGAUACCACCCCUGUAGUACUGGGUUUCUAACCAGUUGCCAUGAACUGGCAAUGGGACAAUGUCAGGCGGGGAGUUUGACUGGGGCGGUCGCCUCCGAAAGGGUAUCGGAGGCGCUCAAAGGUUCCCUCAGAAUGGUUGGAAACCAUUUGAAGAGUGCAAAGGCAGAAGGAAGCUUGACUGCGACACCGACGGGUGGAGCAGGUGCGAAAGUAGGACUUAGUGAUCCGGUGGUAUAAAGUGGGAUUGCCAUCGCUCAACGGAUAAAAGCUACCCUGGGAUAACAGGCUUAUCACUCCCAAGAGUUCACAUCGACGGAGUGGUUUGGCACCUCGAUGUCGGCUCAUCGCAUCCUGGGGCUGUAGCAGGUCCCAAGGGUUGGGCUGUUCGCCCAUUAAAGCGGUACGCGAGCUGGGUUCAGAACGUCGUGAGACAGUUCGGUCCCUAUCCGGCGCGGGCGGAGGAUAUUUGAGAGGAGCUGUCCUUAGUACGAGAGGACCGGGAUGGACGGACCACUGGUGUAUCUGUUGUCGACCAACGGCAUGGCAGAGUAGCCAAGUCUGGAAGGGAUAAACGCUGAAGGCAUCUAAGCGUGAAGCCCCCCUCAAGAUGAGAUAUCCCUCCUUCGGGAGUAAGACCCCUUGAAGACUACAAGGUAGAUAGGGCAGAGGUGGAAGCAUGGCAACAUGUGGAGCUGACUGUUACUAAUAGGUCGAGGGCUUAAUAAU
rnacentral:rRNA from 1 species